UUGAUCCUGGCUCAGGAUGAACGCUGGCGGCGUGCCUAAUACAUGCAAGUCGAGCGAACGGACGAGAAGCUUGCUUCUCUGAUGUUAGCGGCGGACGGGUGAGUAACACGUGGAUAACCUACCUAUAAGACUGGGAUAACUUCGGGAAACCGUAGCUAAUACCGGAUAAUAUUUUGAACCGCAUGGUUCAAAAGUGAAAGACGGUCUUGCUGUCACUUAUAGAUGGAUCCGCGCUGCAUUAGCUAGUUGGUAAGGUAACGGCUUACCAAGGCAACGAUGCAUAGCCGACCUGAGAGGGUGAUCGGCCACACUGGAACUGAGACACGGUCCAGACUCCUACGGGAGGCAGCAGUAGGGAAUCUUCCGCAAUGGGCGAAAGCCUGACGGAGCAACGCCGCGUGAGUGAUGAAGGUCUUCGGAUCGUAAAACUCUGUUAUUAGGGAAGAACAUAUGUGUAAGUAACUGUGCACAUCUUGACGGUACCUAAUCAGAAAGCCACGGCUAACUACGUGCCAGCAGCCGCGGUAAUACGUAGGUGGCAAGCGUUAUCCGGAAUUAUUGGGCGUAAAGCGCGCGUAGGCGGUUUUUUAAGUCUGAUGUGAAAGCCCACGGCUCAACCGUGGAGGGUCAUUGGAAACUGGAAAACUUGAGUGCAGAAGAGGAAAGUGGAAUUCCAUGUGUAGCGGUGAAAUGCGCAGAGAUAUGGAGGAACACCAGUGGCGAAGGCGACUUUCUGGUCUGUAACUGACGCUGAUGUGCGAAAGCGUGGGGAUCAAACAGGAUUAGAUACCCUGGUAGUCCACGCCGUAAACGAUGAGUGCUAAGUGUUAGGGGGUUUCCGCCCCUUAGUGCUGCAGCUAACGCAUUAAGCACUCCGCCUGGGGAGUACGACCGCAAGGUUGAAACUCAAAGGAAUUGACGGGGACCCGCACAAGCGGUGGAGCAUGUGGUUUAAUUCGAAGCAACGCGAAGAACCUUACCAAAUCUUGACAUCCUUUGACAACUCUAGAGAUAGAGCCUUCCCCUUCGGGGGACAAAGUGACAGGUGGUGCAUGGUUGUCGUCAGCUCGUGUCGUGAGAUGUUGGGUUAAGUCCCGCAACGAGCGCAACCCUUAAGCUUAGUUGCCAUCAUUAAGUUGGGCACUCUAAGUUGACUGCCGGUGACAAACCGGAGGAAGGUGGGGAUGACGUCAAAUCAUCAUGCCCCUUAUGAUUUGGGCUACACACGUGCUACAAUGGACAAUACAAAGGGCAGCGAAACCGCGAGGUCAAGCAAAUCCCAUAAAGUUGUUCUCAGUUCGGAUUGUAGUCUGCAACUCGACUACAUGAAGCUGGAAUCGCUAGUAAUCGUAGAUCAGCAUGCUACGGUGAAUACGUUCCCGGGUCUUGUACACACCGCCCGUCACACCACGAGAGUUUGUAACACCCGAAGCCGGUGGAGUAACCUUUUAGGAGCUAGCCGUCGAAGGUGGGACAAAUGAUUGGGGUGAAGUCGUAACAAGGUAGCCGUAUCGGAAGGUGCGGCUGGAUCACCU
rnacentral:rRNA from 1 species